rnacentral:rRNA from 1 species
ACAUGCUUACAUCAUAGCGUUAAUGCACCAAAUCCCAUUAGAACUCCAUAGUUAAGCACACUCAAGCUAGAGUAGUACUAGGAUGGGUGACCGCCGGGGAAGUUCUAGUGUUUUACAUGCC